rnacentral:rRNA from 1 species
UACAGAGGGGGCAAGCGUUGUUCGGAAUUACUGGGCGUAAAGGGCGCGUAGGCGGCCCUCUAAGUCAGACGUGAAAUCCCUCGGCUCAACCGGGGAACUGCGUCUGAGACUGGAAGGCUUGAAUUCGGGAGAGGGAUGUGGAAUUCCAGGUGUAGCGGUGAAAUGCGUAGAUAUCGUAAGGAAGACCAGUGGCGAAAGCGAGUCUCUGGCUAGCAGCUGACACUGAGGCACGAAAGCUGGGGGAGCAAACGGG